UUUCUUCACUCCCACAUGGGGCGUCAGCUGAGAGUUAGCAGUCCAUGUGUGUCCUUUAAUACUGAUUAUUCAGUUAAAUGAGAAACCUGUAAGUGAUGACUGUUCAUUCUCAUUCUGAUCGGAUGAGCCCAUGAUGGUAAGAAGCUCCUGCUUCCUCUGAACCUCUUUAACAAUAAAGGAUGACAAAAUAUUAACUAACAGAAGAGAAACUUAGCAAGUACAGUGAGGGUCAGGAGCUGCUUCAUCUGGAGGUGAAUGUAAAUAAGAAGAAAAGGGCACACAGACAUCGAGAGAGAAGACAGAAGUUAAUGACACAAAUAGAUGGCAUAAAAACCCUAGGGGAGGGACAAGAGUUAACAGUGUGUACAGAGAUAUCAUCGGAUUGCAGUGCACCCCUGAGUCUGGUCAUGCUUUCCAUCUCAUCAAGCUCUUCUGCCCCCUGAAUGGCUAAUGUGUCAUCCCUCCGGUCCAGACAGGAACUCUGCUUUCUGAAUGUCAAGUGAAGUUAAAGCCCAAACAAAGUGAUUCCUUCACUAACAUCUACAGCCCGCAGAUAGAGCUUUGUUUACAUGAACCUCUUAAAGCAGA